GCAAGGAGGUUAGAUUCUGGUUGGCCAAAUAUAGCGUCUCUGCAUGUGAUUCUACAUGGUUUCUGAAGCAAGUUCAUUGUUUGAUCUUCCCUUAGUUCUUUCUCAUUCAUGGCCAUCUAUUUUCGCUUAUUUGUAGUAAUCCAUCACCUUUGCGCAGGCCAUUUUUAUCCCCUUCUCUUCAUUCCCUUGGCUCAAAAAGUCGAUUUUCUGUUCAUGGUGGAAGGGCUGCUUGAAGCAGAUGCUAGAUAGUUGCAGUUUUCUAUGGAAAAUUGUUCCUACUAUAAAAAGAAAUUCUUGAGCGACAGGCUGUUGUUAUGUUUGGCUCUUGCCGUUUCUUCCUUUACCGUGUGCGGGAGGUGCUGCAGUACAUCAACAAAUCUGGACCUGUCAUGGCUUCUCUCCUGCUGGUUGUUCAUGCCCCCAAUUUGUUUGGUUAGUUACCCUUGUUCAUCGGGUAAUCCUGUGUUGUUCUGAGGUGACAAUUGCCCCUCACUUUAUUUGAUCCAUGGGCGAGUUCGGUAGUGAAAACUGGGUGAUUCUUCUCAAUUUUGUGAUGCCCAUGGAAUGAAAAAUCAGGUCACCAAUCAUUCAAUUCAUGCAUCCAUUCCUUUUUUGUACUACAUCCCUCUAGAAAAUCAGGUCACUGGUCUUAUUUAUCUCCUAGAUGUUUUUCUUCUAUCUUAGGUGUGGGCAUUAUAUAAUGUGUUGUGUUGUCCUGGUACUUAGAAUGUUAUUGUUGGCCUCCAAAAAAUCUAAACAUAUGCGUUAGAUUUCAAUGUGCUUUUCAGUGUACUUAAUCAGAGUGUUAAACAUUUCCCCUUAUGGCUGAAACAUUUCGUUCUCAUUUUAGCAUGGCUACUCUGACCAUGAGAGGUAAA